rnacentral:misc_RNA from 1 species
GAUGAAGAACUUAGCGAAAUGCGAUACGUAAUGUGAAUUGCAGAAUUCAGUGAAUCAUCGAGUCUUUGAACGCACAUUGCGCCCCCUGGUAUUCCGGGGGGCAUGCCUGUCCGAGCGUCAUUGCUGCCCUCAAGCCCGGCUUGUGUGUUGGGUCUCGUCCCCCUUCCCGGGGGGACGGGCCCGAAAGGCAGCGGCGGCACCGCGUCCGGUCCUCGAGCGUAUGGGGCUUUGUCACCCGCUCUGUAGGCCCGGCCGGCGCUUGCCGAUCAACCAAAACUUUUUUCCAGGUUGACCUCGGAUCAGGUAGGGAUACCCGCUGAACUUAAGCAUAUCAAUAAGCGGAGGA